AAGAGGACAUGGGCAUUGACGAAAUGUUAGUUUUCAUUACUUAAUUAUUUCGAUUGACAGACUGCUUGUACUGAAGCUUUGAAACAUAUUGAAUGUACUUAAAAUAUAGAACACUUGAGAUCGGCUGAUUUCAUUGUCGAAGCAAUUGUGGAAUCAAAAGAUGUGAAGAAAAAGCUGUUCAUCGAACUGGAUAAGAUCGCAAAGUGUUCGGCCAUUUUAGCAUCUAAUACAAGUUCCAUCUCCAUUACUCGGUUCGCGUCCGAAACCAGCAGACAACACCAGGUCAUUGGAAUGCAUUUCAUGAAUCCUCCUCCAGUAAUGAAGUUGGUUGAGAUUGUUCGAGGUGCAGACACAUCAGAUGAAACAUUUCAUGUGACGAAAGCAUUGGCGGAGAGGACUAUCCCGGCUUUAUCGUGAAUCGAAUCCUUAAGGCAAUGAUAAAUGAAGCAUUCUUCACCCUUUAUACUGGGGUGGCCACCAAGGAAGAUAUUGACACAGGAAAGAAGUUAGGGACAAACCAUCCCAUGGGUCCCUUGGAGCUUGCAGAUUUCAUAGAACUUGAUGUGUGUUAUCUGUUAUUGAAGUUCUACAUACUGGUCUAGGUGACAAUAAGUAUGCCCCUUACCCUCUUCUUGUGCAUUACGUCGGUGCCAGUUGUGUUGGGAGAAAAUGUGGUAUCGGGGUAUACAAUCACCAUAAACCAUCUCCUCGGCUCUGAAUUUAUCUUAUUUAAUGGUAAUUCUGCAAAUUGCAUAUGCAUGUGUCCCCUAUGUUGCUUGCCAGCUCAGAAACCUUUAGUAUAAGGCAAGGAACAUUAAAAGAAAACCCUCCUUUUUCCUCACAAAUGAUGGCCAAGGUGACCCACAGGGAGGAAACCCCAAACCCUACCAGAGACUAUGAAAUUCAUCCAUUGUUUCCGUAACCCUAAAGUUGGCAUUAUUAGGCACCAUCUUUACUUUAUUGAAAGUGAUUGAAUUGGAAUCCAAUAAGGGUUGAUUAUUACACACCCCAUAAAAAAGGAC